UGCCCAGGAGGCGCAAGGCCCUGGGUUCGGUCCCCAGCUCCGGAAAAAAGAAAAGAAAAAAAAGUCAAAACGGAAGAAAAUAGCUGCGAUGCUGCCUUUAAGAAGCCUCGUGGUGAGAGCACCAGUGAGAGAGAGGAUGAUGGGAAAUUCAUUCCGUUGGUUGGGUUUGGGGUGCCUGUGGAAGUGAGAGGCUUAAAAAAGAAAAUCUUCUUUCGUUAUCUGCAAUGGAGAGAGAGCUAAGAGGGCCGACGAUGAUUGACAGGAGCCAGGGAUGCUACGGAAGCAACAGCUGAUGGUUCUUGAAGCGUGGAAAGGGAGGGCUUACUCAGCGUCAGCUCCCCGGCUGGGACCUGAGAUCUUUGGCCCUACUGGCUUGACAGCCCUCUAAAAUCUCUCUGCCUAAAGUUUCCCUUCUCUGAUUCCUUGCAGCCAUCUACUCUCCUCCAGUCUCAGCUCUAGGCUUUCCUUUGCCACCCUUCUAUCUCCAUUGCUCAUCUUUCUUCUCUGGCCUCCCUUGUGUUACUCAGCGGCUGCUCUGUUAGCUAUCAGACAGUAGAUUGCCUUGCCGGACCAAGGUCGUUCUUCACCGACGUUCUUACCUCUGAUGCCGCUCUGCUUCCUCAGCUGCUUCUCUCUCUGCUUCCGACUCAUCAUAUCGCACUUCCGAAAAGAGUCAUGAGAAGCCUUUCAUUGGGGCUAAUGGUGUAACACGAGGAGGACCAGCACAGGAAAGUAUCUCCCAGCUCACUCUGAGCCUAGAUAGCCUACUCAAGUAGCCAGAGGGGUAUGUGUGUUGGGGAGACGGACCACUCACAGCAAUAGACUUUCAGCUCAGCAGGGAGAUCACUCUUCAUUUAGCCCAGGUGGAAGCCACUGCAGGGUCAUCCAGAGAUCACUUAGAUUUAGGAUAACCCAAAGUCUUGUACUGCCUGUUUCAAACAGGCCUUCUGGAGACUAUGCCUUCAGGGACCCAGGAGAUCAGCUCCAAACAUUGUGUGGUUUUUCUCCAUCUAGUGUUCAAGAAUGCUCUUGCUGGUUUUUUGACUGACAGUCACUAAGGGAACCAGGGAAACACAGAAGAAUCCAGCAACUGCUAAAGGGAAGUCAGAUGGCUCCAUUCCCCCAACAUCUUCUCUUGCUUGCAGAGAAAUAAACUAAAGUGUGCUUACACUAUAAA